rnacentral:rRNA from 1 species
UACGUAGGGUCCGAGCGUUAUCCGGAAUUACUGGGCGUAAAGAGUUCUGUAGGCGGAUUAAUAAGUUUAGAUUGAAACUCCAAGGCUCAACCUCGGAUUUGGUCUAAAUACUAUUAGUCUAGAGGCUCGUAGGGACUAGGAGAACGGGUGGUGAAGCAGUGAAAUGCGUUGAUAUCACCUGGAAUACCAAAGGCGAAGGCACCUAGUUGGGCGAGAUCUGACGCUGAGAGACGAAAGCGUGGGGAGCAAAACGG